rnacentral:rRNA from 1 species
GAUGAACGCUAGCGGCAGGCUUAACACAUGCAAGUCGAGGGGCAGCAUGAUGAAACUUUCGGGUUUCAUUGAUGGCGACCGGCGCAAGGGUGCGUAACGCGUGAGCAACUUGCCCUUAUCAGGGGGAUAACCGGUGGAAACGCCGACUAAUACCCCAUAGUAUGUUUUUAAGGCAUCUUUUAAACAUUAAAGAAUUUCGGAAACGGAUAGGCUCGCGUGACAUUAGGUAGAUGGCGGGGUAACGGCCCACCAUGCCCACGAUGUCUAGGGGUUCUGAGAGGAAGGUCCCCCACACUGGAACUGAGACACGGUCCAGACUCCUACGGGAGGCAGCAGUGAGGAAUAUUGGUCAAUGGCCGGAAGGCUGAACCAGCCAAGUAGCGUGAAGGAUGAAGGUUCUAUGGAUUGUAAACUUCUUUUAUACGGGAAUAAAACCUCCCACGUGUGGGAGCUUGUAUGUACCGUAUGAAUAAGCAUCGGCUAACUCCGUG